UAUGGCCCCUGGAUUGGACUGCGGCCGAUCAGGCUGUUGGUGAGGUAAUGGCCCACCAAACCUGUAACCGGUACGGGCUCUGAGAGGAGGAGCCCGGAGAUGGGCACUGAGACAAGGGCCCAGGCCCUAUGGGGCGCAGCAGGCGCGAAACCUCUGCAAUAGGCGAAAGCUUGACAGGGUUACUCUGAGUGAUUUCCGUUAAGGAGAUCUUUUGGCACCUCUAAAAAUGGUGCAGAAUAAGGGGUGGGCAAGUCUGGUGUCAGCCGCCGCGGUAAUACCAGCACCCCGAGUGGUCGGGACGUUUAUUGGGCCUAAAGCAUCCGUAGCCGGUUCUACAAGUCUUCCGUUAAAUCCACCUGCUUAACAGAUGGGCUGCGGAAGAUACUAUAGAGCUAGGAGGCGGGAGAGGCAAGCGGUACUCGAUGGGUAGGGGUAAAAUCCGUUGAUCCAUUGAAGACCACCAGUGGCGAAGGCGGCUUGCCAGAACGCGCUCGACGGUGAGGGAUGAAAGCUGGGGGAGCAAACCGGAUUAGAUACCCGGGUAGUCCCAGCUGUAAACGAUGCAGACUCGGUGAUGAGUUGGCUUAUUGCUAACUCAGUGCCGCAGGGAAGCCGUUAAGUUUGCCGCCUGGGGAGUACGGUCGCAAGACUGAAACUUAAAGG
rnacentral:rRNA from 1 species